AAGUCGAGCGGGAUCUUCGGAUCUAGCGGCGGACGGGUUAGUAACGCGUGGGAACGUACCCAGAUCUACGGAAUAGCCUCGGGAAACUGAGAGUAAUACCGUAUACGCCCUUCGGGGGAAAGAUUUAUCGGAUUUGGAUCGGCCCGCGUAAGAUUAGAUAGUUGGUGGGGUAAUGGCCUACCAAGUCUACGAUCUUUAGCUGGUUUGAGAGGAUGAUCAGCAACACUGGGACUGAGACACGGCCCAGACUCCUACGGGAGGCAGCAGUGGGGAAUCUUAGACAAUGGGCGCAAGCCUGAUCUAGCGAUGCCGCGUGAGUGAUGAAGGCCUUAGGGUCGUAAAGCUCUUUCGCCUGUGAAGAUAAUGACGGUAGCAGGUAAAGAAACCCCGGCUAACUCCGUGCCAGCAGCCGCGGUAAUACGGAGGGGGUUAGCGUUGUUCGGAAUUACUGGGCGUAAAGCGCACGUAGGCGGACUAGUCAGUCAGAGGUGAAAUCCCAGGGCUCAACCCUGGAACUGCCUUUGAUACUGCUAGUCUUGAGUUCGAGAGAGGUAAGUGGAAUUCCGAGUGUAGAGGUGAAAUUCGUAGAUAUUCGGAGGAACACCAGUGGCGAAGGCGGCUUACUGGCUCGAUACUGACGCUGAGGUGCGAAAGUGUGGGGGAGCAAACAGGAUUAGAUACCCUGGUAGUCCACACCCGUAAACGAUGAAUGCCCAGACGUCGGGUAGCAUGCU
rnacentral:rRNA from 1 species